AAGUAUAAAAGUAGUUUUCGUGUGUUUGGAAGGGAAUGGCUACAUCAACAAAAAUCCCACAACACACGUUCACGCCACCGCACUACCAUAGCUCGGCUCCAUUUCUCUCCCGAGGAAUAAAACAACACUCAUUUAAGAGAUGGAUUCCCUGCACUUGAGAUUUUCCAUAGGAAAAUGACAGCAUUAAAUGUCUCAAUUUGAGAAGCCCGAGAUAAACACUGAUGGGAGAACAUGAGAGGCACAGAGAAGGUAUUGGUACAACCCUCCAUCUCCUACAGCUCUUCUGUUUAACUCUGGUUGUGCUGCAAGUCCCAGCUACCUUUGGGAACGGCUGCUGAAAUAAUAUCCCCAGAAUACUCUAAUCUCUGAUUCUCUGGAUAUGCAUUUGCAGGUCCCUGGAUUCAGUUCCUUGGCUGAAAAAAAUUCUUCUUACGAUAGAGGCAAUACUUAUAUACAAAAAAGGUGAUUUUUCU